rnacentral:rRNA from 1 species
UACGAAGGGGGCUAGCGUUGUUCGGAAUUACUGGGCGUAAAGCGCACGUAGGCGGAUAUUUAAGUUAGGGGUGAAAUCCCAGGGCUCAACCCUGGAACUGCCUUUAAUACUGGGUAUCUCGAGUCCGAGAGAGGUGAGUGGAAUUCCGAGUGUAGAGGUGAAAUUCGUAGAUAUUCGGAGGAACACCAGUGGCGAAGGCGGCUCACUGGCUCGGUACUGACGCUGAGGUGCGAAAGCGUGGGGAGCAAACA